CGGGCUGAGCAAGCCAGUAAGCAGCACCGCUCCAUGGCCUCUGCAUCGACUCCUGCCUCCAGGAUCCAGGCCUGCGCGAGUUCCUGGCCUGACGUCCUUCAGCGGCCUGACGUCCUUCAGCGAUGGCUGUGAUGUGGAAGUGUCAGUGGUUCCAGUGUUCAGUUUUUCAGCCUCAUCACAGCCUCAGCGCCAUGGGAGUGAAUCUGCCUAUCACGGGAGGAGCUGUCACUCCAGCUUCCGGAGCAGAACCUCAGACUCAGUGAGAUGAAUGUUACUGUACUCACAGACUAUGUUCACACAAGCACGGCAACCUGGAGCAGCUCCGCAUGCUCACACACAGUGUGUGCCUGACUAUGGAGUUAGCUGUGAGUCUCAGGGACUGCCAAUAAACAAGGAACAGAGAUGCCCAUGACCUUGGAAAUCCACAGACCAGAAUUCAAACUCCUAGCAGCUUCCACCAGGCACAGACCUCGGAAUGUUGGGAGCCUUUGCUUCU